AUCGCUUCUCGGCCUUUUGGCUAAGAUCAAGUGUAGUAUCUGUUCUUAUCAGCUUUAGUAGAGUAGAGUUUUGGAGGAUGGGGAGAGGCAGUGAGGGAGAAAGAAAGGCUUCUGUGUUGCUUACUAUGGUAUAGAAUCAAUUUGGAGCUUCAACCAACCAGCUUAU
ensembl:snRNA U2 U2 spliceosomal RNA